rnacentral:misc_RNA from 1 species
GCCUAAGGUAGGACUGGCGACUGGGGUGAAGUCGUAACAAGGUAUCCCUACGAGAACGUGGGGAUGGAUCACCUCCUUUCUACGGAGUACAACGAAACGAAAGUUUCUUACUUAGUUAUGGAAUUAUAUUUGUAUCCAGUUUUGAGAGAACUAUCUCUCUUUUUGUUCUUUGAAAACUGAAUAUCGACAUUGAAAUAAAUUUAUUAAUAUUUCAAAGUUUAGAUCAACCUAUAGAAUAUACCAAGACAAACAAUAGGUCAUACAAAAUAAAAAAAACUAUUAAACAAGAAAGAGUUUUUGGUGGAUGCCUUGGGUCUGGAAGUCGAAGAAGGACGUGAUUACCUGCGAUAAGCCUCGUUUAGCUGGAAAUAAGCAAUGAAACGGGG